AAACAAACAUGGCAUCCACAUGGUUUAUGAGAAUUCUAGCACUKGUUUUUGAACACAGUUAGAGUAAUAUUUAAAUACACGAGUGCAUACACUACUACUGACGUCAUGCACUUAAAGAGAAAACUUGCAUGCGUGACAAGACAAAUAAGUCGCUCGAUCGUAACAUACUAAACGACACACCUCGAUAAACCAAGGUACGAAUCGAACCUCGGCAAGGCAACGUUUCGUCAGUUCAAGGAAUCAGUAACUUAAUUUGAUAACCUAGAGCGCGUUUAAAAAUUGAGAACAUCAUCAAGAAUGGGCUCUGGAAGCAGCAAGAAAAAGAAGCUUAGAGUGGUGACUGCUGAGCAGAAAUGGAAAAAAAAAGAAAGGCAAGAUAAAGGCAACAAAUUAUAGUCGUGAAGAGGAGGCCAUAAGAAACGAUGAUGAAGAAGAAAAGAAAAAGAAGGCAGUUAAAGAUGAA